GAAUCUUUUUUAAAAUUCUUUAUAUAUGCAUAAAUUUUAAGAUAUUCUAAAAUUGUUUUAUAAUUACUAAACCCUCCGCACGGAUUCCCACCUUGACACGGUCGAGGGGCAAUGGCUGCCGAGGACACCCGGGUGUACCUGGGGACAGCCAGCUAAAAAAAAACGCCAAGUCAAGGUGUAAGCAACCGUGCCGAAAGCUGCAUGACGCGGGGGAAACCGCGUCGUUAACGGUAUCUCCUGAAUACCGAGUGAUCUCCAGAAGUAUAAAGCUAUACUCCGGGCAAUUACCACGUAAAAGUGGUUGCACUUUGAGUUCUACUCACGCUCUUCCCAAUUGAUCAACCAUACUUUGGACGUGAAAAAUUGCUUCUAUAUUUGAAAAUACAUUGAACUGCGAUUUAUUUUUAAAUUUAAGCAUUUAAGAGCAAAAAAGCAGAGUUGCUCUAAUAAAGCUGUCCCUUAUUUCUGAUUCCCACAACAGAAUUCCAAGAUUUAACCAUCUAGAAUACCUAUUUCAAACGUGAUCUAUCGACUGGUAACGUUAGUUUCUUUUAUACCACUUUUGCAAUACAAAACGGUCUCUUGUCAGGUGAAUGCACUGUAAAAUUAGUCACAGAGGCGGCAUCCAAGGUGUGGAGACCAGAAAAAAGGGACGACUUAGAGCGACUUUGCUUUCUCGUUUUUAAAUGCCCAAAUUUGAAAAUAAGUCGCAGUUUAGUGUAUUUUCAAGCACACCACAGAAGUAAUUUUUGACGUUCGAAGUAUGGUUUGUUGGUUGGGAAGGGUGUGGGUAAAAUUCAAAAUGCAGCCAUCUUCACGGGUGAAUGCUCAAUCUUUUUCAUUAAACUAAAUUAUGUACGAACGCAAAAAGUUGCACUAAUAAAUGAAAGGAUAAGAUAUAAGAAAUGAGUAAAAAAAGUGUGAAAGAGUGGAAGGCUAAUUCAUUCUGAUUCGUUUGCUUCUUUUAUUUUGUAUUGCACCUCUACUAUGUAGUGUUCGCACAAUUUUCACCAUUUGUACAGAAAAUCGACCUCCCGUCCCCAGCACUUUGGAGAAAGCUAUUUGGAUAAUAAAUACUUUCUUUGAUAGGCUCAUUACAAUGUCACAAAUCAAAUUUAAUUGCAAUCUGACCAUUUUUUGCUAUUUUUCAUAAUUUUCAUAAAUAUAUAAUAAUAUAUAAAUUCAUAAAUAUAAAAUUUAGUCAAAUUUUUCGAACUUGAACCUCAUGCGCAGCCUGAAGAUAUUGUCCGAUUACAAAAAUUUUUUUAUUGUAAUUGUCUUAAAACGUAGCAACUUUUUCGCAUUAUUACGUUUCAAUUUAAGCACUUUUUGAAAAUUCGAUCCAUCCUAAUGGGCUAUCAAGACUCUCAAAUCCUACAAGCCACAGGGAUCAGAUGGCAUCUAUCCGAUACUGCUUCAGCAAAGAGUAAACGAGCUGUUAGGUCCGCUGACAAAAACUUUCAAGGCUCAAUUGCACUAAAGCAUCCCAAAAAUCUAAACAGGCACAAGGAUGUUUUUCAUCUCAAAGACAGGACGUAAUGACCACAUCCUUGCUAAGGCCUAUUAGUCUCACAUCUAAUUUCUCACAUUUCUUCUAAAGACCUUAAAAAACUGGUUAACAUAUAUCUAAAGACUAUCCCCCUCUUGACGAAGCCUUUGGCGGCAGUAAACCUACAAAAAAGAGAGAUCCACAGAAAUCGCCAUACACCACUUGGCUAGUUGCAUAGAAAGUCAACUGGCGGCCGGGGGAUGCGGUUUAUUUUUAUUGCAAAAUCACAACAAUCUGCACUGACAACAGAGUAGUCCUACCAGCGCUGGCUAAGCUCUACAUUAAAACCUCAGUGUUCUGGGACUGUAUAACGGCGCUCAAGAGACUAAGUAUAUUAAACAAGGUAACCCUGGCAUGUGUGCCAAAACAUCAAAGUACAAGAGGCAAUGAGGUGGCAAAUUGCCUGGCUAAGAAGGGCUCAAAGAAAGGCACCUUGGAAUGAGCAAUCGGACUUUCCUUUGCUACUGGUAAAGCUACCAUCAGAAAGCUGAUGAACAAAGAAUAUCUAUCUAGAUGGAACAAAUGAUCGGUCAAAACUCUUGAUGGAAGGGCCAACGGACAAUAGAGCAAUAGAACUAACAGCAAUAAACACACAGCGGCUUGGGACCACAAUAGGACUUCUCACGGGGCACGGUGACUCUGAAGGCUUACCCAAAGAUAGCAGACGACGAUGUAUAUCGCCUAUGCAGACAAAGCGGGGAAAACAGUGCACAUCCUAUGCCACUGCCCUGCUCUGAUUUGUAAAAGAUACUCGAUCUGGAGAUGGGCCUUUGUGGAAUCCUUAGAAAAGUCAGACUAGGGGACCUAGUAUACCUGGUCUCUGACGGUUGGUCAAGAGGUUGGGAUUAAAAACCUAAGUGUAAAAUACACAGAAAUGUGAUAAUGGAUCUUAGAUCUAAAGAAUCCUAGGAGCCAAACUGGCCCCACCCUCUAAACAUAUACUACUACUAUAAUUUCUAAAAAAAAACUUAUAAAAUCUAGAACUGUGCGAUAUUUUUAUAAAUUUUAAAAAAUUUUAAAAUAUAAAAUUUUUAAAAAUAAAAAUUAACAAUAGUAAAUUAGAAAAUUAAGAAACAAUAAAAUUGUUAAACAUAAAAUAAAAUUCGUUUAUAUCAAUUAAUAGUGGUAAUAAUUUAUGUAAAUAAUUUGUGUUAAUUAAUAACUUUUACUGUCUCCAGUUUCAUUUUUUGUCAGUUUUGAAACAGAGUGCUUACGUGAAAUACGUAAUUUUACAAAUUAAAUAGACCAGUAAUUUAACUACUUCGUCGGCAGGCGAAAUUUCACUGUUCGUGCCCUUGUGAGCAAGAAAAAAAAAUAAUCGCAAUUCAACGAUAUUUUGUAUCUAAAAGCUUUCGGGGUUGCUGAUUACGAAUCAAACAUCAAAAUUUUAAAAUUCAAAAUGGCGGAUCUAAUAUGGCGGACCGAAAAUAUUUUAAUUUAAUUUAUUUGGAUAAAAUUUAUAAUACAGGGGUUUUUGAAUUGCUAAAUUUGGCUUCAUUUUGGGUCCGCCAUUUUGAAUAUUAAAGUUUUGACUUUGGAUUCGUACUCAGCAACCCAAAAAAACCUCUAGAUACCAGCUUUCAUAACAAUGGGAACAUUUUGAUUAUUUUGGGUCCGCCAUUUUAAAUUUUAGAGUUUUGACUUUAGAUUCGUACUCAGCGACUCAAAAAACCCAUAGAUACCAGCUUUCAUAAUAAUUGGAAAAUUUUGAUUAUUUUGGGUCCGCCAUUUUGAAUUUUUGAGUUUGGACCUUGGAUUCAUAUUCAGCGACACAAAAAAUCUUUGGAUAUUAAUUUUCAUGCAAAUCGAUCCAGUCAAUUAAAAAAUAAACGAUGUACGCCUAUGGCGUCAAUGCCCCCUGGGGCACACAUAUUUUCCGCGCCAUAUGGUGUCAAUGCCGAUGAAGUGGUUAAUAAUACUGAUGCUUUAAAGUAUAAGAUUUUCUUUCUCCAAAAAAAUAUAAAAAAUUUAUUGCAAAAAAUAAUGAUUUUGCCGGGAUUGCAACGUGCAAUUUACGUGAGCUAGAGGUACAAAAAAUUUAUACAAAUUAUUAUUUUUAGGUUAUAAUUUAUUAUUAUUAGGUUACACUAAAAUCUAUUGUUGACUAAUAUAAGCAAAUUUCAUUUUUAUGUUUGAUUAUAAGCAUUUUUUCAACAAAAUAAUUUUUUUGUUAAUUUAUUUUUUGUUACAUGUGUGUCAAAAACGGUCCUUUUGAUGGCCCUUUAUCGGCCUCUGUUACUAAUUGUACAAUUUUCUUUCACAAGUAACUGAUUCCCCCACCGAUCAACCGUGUGAAAAAGUCGUUCGAAAAUCAUUCCCGCACAAAUAUUUCAUUAAAAUCCCGUACGACUAAUUACUUCCCCUUCAUUUUGACAUUUAAGUCGUACCAUAGACACGUCAUCUCUCGACACGCAUAUGGUUUAUAACACUUAAAAACUUUUGCAUAAAUUACCGAUAUUCUAUUGCCAUCUAUGGCAACUUUGACGCUUUCGAACAUACCUUACCCUAGAUAAAUAACCUGUCAAUUCGUGUUGCACAGACAUCACGCGUCAUUGUAUCAAGGCCGCGUUAAAGUCAAGCAGUGCAACUUUGCAGUAAUGAACAUUAAUGAAUACAACAACUCGAUGCAUUUGUCAAAAAACAAGCAUAAUUUUAAUGUAAAAAAUCAAAAGUUUUGACGAUAACCUCUUGAUCAUACACAUUUAUUAUAGCUACAAAGGUAAAUUUUCAUGUAUUAGUAAAAUAAUUUAUUUACAUAAAAUUACAUAAAAAUAAAUUUUUUUAUUGCGGAGGGGGGGCUUCGCCGCAGAUCUCCCGUCCUCCGCCCUAAACCACUUCUCGCCUCCGUCAUUUUUUAUGCAAUUGUACAAAAAAAUAGAAUGUGUUACUUGUGCGGAUCGGCUAUUUCUAUUCGUGCGGGUAAACAUACUCGUUGGAAAUAGAUACGUUCCGCAUACAAAUAUCUCAAAAUUUCUAAAAAAAUUUUUUUAAUUUUCACAAUUUCUGUAUAAUUUCAUAACUUUUCAACAAAUUUUUUAAAUUUUUAAAAAUUAGAAUACCUUUCAGAAAUAUUAACAAAUAACACUACCCAACUAACACUCACCGAUUUGAAUAAAACUUAAAAUACUGAUUAAACAUUGUUGUGAGUGUAAUGCACUCACACAAGAAAUGUCGCAAGCGAUAUAAGGUGUCAAAUGACACCUCGCGCGCGGACAUCGCUCAGCCUAUAUACCGGGCGUCGCACCGGGCAAUGCAUCCGGUUGCUUAAGAGACAACACCCAAAAUCUCCUGAUUUUGGGGUAGAAUCCGCAUAGCCAGCAAUUGCUGGCUAAGCAAGAGCAUUGACCAAAGGUCAGUGACCGGGAAGUACCCUCCCCGGUUAUACCAAAAAUCGGUGUAUAUUAUCACCGAGGUACAGACAACGAGCGGGCUUGCUACACAUUAUACAGCGACGAACGUAUGUCGCUCGACACGAUACUUGUACGGGUAUUUCAAUACGAAUCAGUAACUCAGUAGAUUCAGUGUAACUUAGUAAAAGAAUAUAUACCGUAUUCAAAACCACUACUGGCUCAUCUCUUACGAGACCUGACCCGAGAAGUAACGACAGCGAUCCCAAUUACCUGUGUCCCUCUUUCUAAUAAGGGGCACAACACCAAAAAAUAUUAAACGUGUUUUUUUUUUGUUUCAGCUAUAUACGCAUUUUAAGGGUAAAACUCACCCCUCAAUCCCUAAGGGUGGAAACAGCUAUGGCUAAUUAUUUCAGAAACGAUACAUUUUCUGAAAAAGGUGCUCAGGACCAAAGUUGUAGGGUUAAAAGUGAUGCAUUUGAUGGUGACGUUGACCUUAAGAUCGACUUGCAAGAUAAAACAAUCAGGAGUUUGAAAGUGUUGAUUGAUCUAAUCAAUUAAGGCAAGAUCAGUCAGUGAUUUGACCAAUAAAGGAAAUAAAAGUUAAUUAUCUGUUCAAAUAAGGCGAGAUGUGAUCAAAAUCCAGCCAGUGAAGGCAAAAUGUAAUCGAGAUCCAGCCAGUGAAAGCAAGAUAUGAUCAAGAACCAACCAAUAAAAACAACAUAUAACCGAAAUCUGGCCAGUAAAGGCAAAAUGCAAUCGAGAUCCAACCAGUAAAAGCAAGAUUUCAUAAUCUAUAGCUGCGUUCCGAAAUUCAUUGUUAGUACUAAAAGUCUAGUUCAUGUUACGUAUACUAUACAUUUUCAAUACUGGCAGUAAAAUUUCGGAACGCAGCCUAUAAGUAUAAAUUCCACAAUAAUUGGCAUUAUUCUUUAUAUUCACAGCAAUAUGAGUAAAAGCUUCAUUUUCUAUCGCAAAAAAAUGUUCCAUACACAGAAAGUUAGUACACCACGCACAUUUUAUUACUGUAAUGUCAUUGCAGAUUUUGCAGACUGUACCGCAAUUCUUUAAACAAAAAUCAACAAGUGUUUCACAUCUAUCUGGUUUUUCUUCGAUAUACCCAUUUUUUUCACUAGGCGUAUUUAAUCAUGUUUUUGAAUCGGGAUAAUAAGAAUUGAUUAUGGAUUAAUAAUUAAAUUUUAAGAAUGUUAUUCCUCAAAUGUAGAUUAAUAUCAUAGUUAUAUAAGAAAAUUAAGACUAAAAAUUGUUUCAGAAAAUUUUUUCAUGGUUUAAAUACGUAGACAUCCAAUGGUUUAAGAAAAGCGGGGAGAAUUAAUAAAAUCCCGAAUGAAGUAUGGAAGUUGCGGGGGAGAGAGGCUGGAAGAGUGGGUGUAAGAAUUUUUUUAAGUAGGGUGCGGAAAGAAGAAAAGUGGUUAGAGAAGGAGUGUAGUAGUGCCUAUAAUAAAGAAAAGGGAUGAACUGAAGGUAGAGGACUAUAGAAGGAUAACUUUGAUGCCCUCACUUUAUACGGUGUACGCAAUGAUCUUAGCUGAGAGGUUGAAGGAGGACAUAGAAAAGAGGAUAAUUGCAGAUAAUCAAGCAGGUUUUAGAAAUAAUAGAGGUACAAUGGAUAACAUUUUUGUACUUAAUUAUCUGAUAAAUAGAUGUAUAGAUAGAAAAGGAGGGAAAAUGAUGGCGUUAUUUGUAAACCUGAAGGCGGCAUUUGAUUCGGUAGAUAGGGGGAUAUUGAUUAAAGCGAUGAGAGAGAGAGAGUAAGAGUGGGUUUGAUAAAAAGAAUGAAAACCUUAAGAGAGACAAAAAGCAAAGUUAGAAUAGAAAAAAUAAGAGAAGAGUUUUGGACAGGGAGGGGAGUGAGACAAGGGUGUCCGUUAAGUCCGCUAUUUUUCAACAUUUUGAUAACAGACUUGGAGGCAAUGAGAAGAUUUAAGUGAGUAGAUGUGAGGUUAGAAAGAGAGGUGCUCGCUAGCAUACACGGACAAUCUGGUUGUAACAGAGGAGAAAGAUCAGAUAAGGAGUAUGUUAGAAAGGCUGGAAACAUACUUAGAUGAAAAGAACUUAGUGUUAAACGCAGGGAAAUCAAGAGUAAUAAAAUUUAAAAAAAGGAGGUAAGGAAAAUAGAAAAAGUUAGUAAUGGAAAGAGAGAAGAAUAGAAGAAGUAAAGGAGUACAGCUAUCAUGUUGCAAAAAAACGGGGGACAAAAUUCUCAGAUAAGGGAUAAAGUGAGGAGAGCGUCGGCAGUGAUGGGUUAAGUUUGGAAGAUUAGAAAGAGAAGGUAUGGAAAGGAUUGGGGGAAAGGCUAUGGCUGUUCAACAGACUAGUAUAGACGGUUAUGGGUUAUUGAGUUGAUAUAGGGCUGGAAAGAAAGAAAUAGUAUAGAGAGGUUAGAGGAAAGGUAUUUAAGGUGGAUGUUAGGAUUGGAUUAAAGUACGUCGGAGUAUAUGAUAAGAUACAGAAGAAUAAAUUAAGAGGUAGAGCAGGAAAAAAAGCGUAGGCAUACAAAGAGGUUGAAUGAGGGAAAGGAUAAUAGGUUGGCAAGAAAAUGCUUAGAAGAGAUAAGAAUGAAAGAUAGGAUAAGAAAGGUGGGCAUAGGAUCGGAAAAAAAAGAAGGGAUAACUUUGAGCAUAGAGGGUAGAAACUGCAGAAGAUAGAUGGGGAAAAAAGUGUAGAGGAUUUUGAGGUUAUUUUUAGUAAGAAUACACAGUUGCAGAAAAAAAAAAGAAAAAGAAUUAAAGAGUAGGAAUAUAACAAAUGGUAUAAAUGUGUGAAGAAAAAAGAGGUGCCAGAGAAUUUUAAAAAAAGAUGAAAAGAGAGUAAGUGAAAUAAACUCAUAAGGUUAGGUUAAGUAACGGAAUGAGAGAGAAUAGAUAUUGAAAAAACGAAGACAAGAAAAUGUGCAGAUUAUGUGGAAGGAAUGUAGAGAUUGGAAGAAAGGCAAUGAAAGUUGGCAGAAGAUAGUGAAGAGGAUUUUAGGGGCGAAAGGAGAGUUGACUGAGAGAAUUGAAAAGAGAAAGAAAAGAGGAUAAAAAA